CCGCUGAACUUAAGCAUAUCAAUAAGCGGAGGAAAAGAAACCAACAGGGAUUGCCCUAGUAACGGCGAGUGAAGCGGCAACAGCUCAAAUUUGAAACCUGGCGCUUGCGUCCGGAUUGUAAUUUGUAGAGGAUGCUUCUGGGCAGCGGCCGUUCUAAGUUCCUUGGAACAGGACGUCAUAGAGGGUGAGAAUCCCGUAUGUGACCGGCGCGCACCCUCCACGUAGCUCCUUCGACGAGUCGAGUUGUUUGGGAAUGCAGCUCUAAAUGGGAGGUAAAUUUCUUCUAAAGCUAAAUAUUGGCCAGAGACCGAUAGCGCACAAGUAGAGUGAUCGAAAGAUGAAAAGCACUUUGGAAAGAGAGUUAAAAAGCACGUGAAAUUGUUGAAAGGGAAGCGCUUCCAACCAGACUCCGCGGCGGUGUUCCGCCGGUCUUCUGACCGGUCCACUCGCCGCCGUGGGGCCAACAUCGUCUGGGGCCGCCGGAUAAGACCGGAGGAAUGUAGCUCAUUGAGUGUUAUAGCCUCCGGUGAUGCGGCGCGUCCCGGGCGAGGUCCGCGCUUCGGCAAGGAUGUUGGCGUAAUGGUUGGCAGCGGCCCGUCUUGAAACACGGACCAAGGAGUCUAACAUCUAUGCGAGUGUUCGGGUGUCAAACCCCUACGCGCAAUGAAAGUGAACGGAGGUGGGAGCUUCGGCGCACCAUCGACCGAUCCUGAUGUCCUCGGAUGGAUUUGAGUAAGAGCAUAGCUGUUGGGACCCGAAAGAUGGUGAACUAUGCCUGAAUAGGGUGAAGCCAGAGGAAACUCUGGUGGAGGCUCGCAGCGGUUCUGACGUGCAAAUCGAUCGUCAAAUUUGGGUAUAGGGGCGAAAGACUAAUCGA
rnacentral:rRNA from 1 species